rnacentral:tRNA from 1 species
GGGCAAUUAACUCAGCUGGGAGAGUGUCUUCUUGACGUGGAGAAAGUCAGCGGUUCGAGUCCGUUAUUGCCCACCA